AGCGAUGGAGCCAUGGCUGCACUGGGACUGCAUGCUUUGCUCUGCUGUUUCGGUGUCUGCAGCAGCAGCUGCUGGUGCUGCUCACUCACGAGCAGCCAUGCCAGGUCUCCCAUUAUCAAUGCCUGGCUUCAGAUACAUAGAAACAGACUGAAAAAUGAGUCUGGUGUGACGUGCCAGGCUGCUUUCCCCACCUAGGCAGUUGUGUUGGAGUGCAAGAGAGGACAGAGGCUUUCUGCACAGCGCUCUCGUUCUGUUCUUGGCAUUGAGCUGAAGCCCUGGACACUUCACGGGAGAUGCUUCUGUUUUCCUUUCAAAUGGAAAACUAAAAUGGUCAAAAGAGCCUGAGUGGAUUUCCACAUUAUACCCAAAAAAUGAACUUGUUACAAAAUUAGACCUGUACCUAGGCCAAAUUAAAUAUCUGGCAAAGUAAUGCCCAUAUUUAUUUCUAGAAUUAACAGAAAUUUAAUGAUUAUAAUGCAGGACAGAUUUUUUCCCCCUCUAUUCAGUAUCACACUUCUAUCACCAGAGAAAAGUUAAUUACAUUGCUGCUUUUUCUUCCUGAAAAGAUAAAAUACAUGAAAAAAAAUAGUUUUGGGCUGUAAAAAAAAGUCUAUGAGUGGGGUAAAUUGCUGGGGCAGUAGACAAAACCUCUCUUAAUCAAACUCCAUAAUGCAAUAGGAAGAACAGAGCACAUCUAAAUUGUGUCUCCACUAUAUUUUCAUUACCCGACUGAAAAUAGUAGGUCUGUCUUUAUAUUUUCUGACUGAGAAAAUCACCUGCUAGGGUGGAAGGUUCUUUCUUUCUCCCUAACUCAUCCAAUGAGAUCUAUCUUUAGGGACAUGAAUGGGACUAAAAAUUCUCUGUCCUAUUGUAAACUCACCUAAAAGUAGAGACAGAUUUUAAAAAGCAAAACCAAACCCAUAAUUGUGUUGAAGCCAUGUGGAUAACUGAGUAUCCGGUUCACGGUAGUUCUUCCAGCAGCUGAGAAAAAAGGUCAUCAAGAAAUAUAUUUUUUCAGCAUCUUCAACAAACUGGAAGAUUAUAGAAAAUAUUUUUGCUGUAGUUCAAACUCAGAAGAGAUAAUGUGUUGCUAAUAUUUCACACAAUAUUGCAUUUCAGUUGUGAAUAUUUUUCAGAGUUAAACAAAACAUUGGACGGAAUUUCCCACUGAAGUAUCAGUGAGCAGAAAAAUAAAUCCCUUCUGCAGGCAAAACAAAC
rnacentral:lncRNA from 7 species